UACGGAGGGUGCAGGCGUUAUCCGGAUUCACUGGGUUUAAAGGGUGCGUAGGCGGGCAGGUAAGUCAGUGGUGAAAUCCCCGAGCUCAACUUGGGAAUUGCCGUUGAUACUAUCUGUCUUGAAUAUCGUGGAGGUGAGCGGAAUAUGUCAUGUAGCGGUGAAAUGCUUAGAUAUGACAUAGAACACCCAUUGCGAAGGCAGCUCACUACACGAUAAUUGACGCUGAGGCACGAAAGCGUGGGGAGCAAACAGG
rnacentral:rRNA from 1 species